CCUACGGGCGGCAGCAGUGGGGAAUAUUGGGCAAUGGGCGCAAGCCUGACCCAGCAACGCCGCGUGAAGGAAGAAGGCCCUCGGGUUGUAAACUUCUUUUAUCAAGGACGAAACAAAUGACGGUACUUGAUGAAUAAGCCACGGCUAACUACGUGCCAGCAGCCGCGGUAAUACGUAGGUGGCAAGCGUUAUCCGGAUUUACUGGGUGUAAAGGGCGUGUAGGCGGGACUGCAAGUCAGAUGUGAAAACCAUGGGCUCAACCCAUGGCCUGCAUUUGAAACUGUAGUUCUUGAGUGCUGGAGAGGCAAUCGGAAUGCCGUGGGUAGCGGUGAAAUGCGUAGAUAUACGGAGGAACAGCAGUGGCGAAGGCGGAUUGCUGGACAGUAACUGACGCUGAGGCGCGAAAGCGUGGGGAGCAAACAGGAUUAGAUACCCGUGUAGUC
rnacentral:rRNA from 1 species